rnacentral:rRNA from 1 species
CACGUAGGGGGCAAGCGUUGUCCGGAAUCAUUGGGCGUAAAGAGCGCGUAGGCGGUCCGGUAAGUCCGCUCUGAAAGUCCGGGGCUCAACCCCGGGAGGCGGGCGGAUACUGUCGGGCUAGAGUCCGGAAGAGGCGAGUGGAAUUCCUGGUGUAGCGGUGAAAUGCGCAGAUAUCAGGAGGAACACCAAUGGCGAAGGCAGCUCGCUGGGACGGUACUGACGCUGAGGCGCGAAAGCGUGGGGAGCAAACAGG